AUUGUUUGGUGGCGAUAGCGAAGAGGUCACACCCGUUCCCAUACCGAACACGGAAGUUAAGCUCUUCAGCGCCGAUGGUAGUCGGGGGGUUCCCCCUGUGAGAGUAGGACGCCGCCAAGCAGU
rnacentral:rRNA from 1 species